rnacentral:rRNA from 1 species
CUUGAUGGCGACCGGCGCACGGUGAGUAACACGUAUGCAACCUACCUACAUCAGGGGAAUAACCGGAGAAAUUACGGACUAAUACCGCAUAAUACAGGGAUGCCGCAUGGCAAUAUUUGUUAAAGAUUUAUCGGAUGUAGAUGGGCAUGCGUUCCAUUAGCUGGUUGGUAAGGUAACGGCUUACCAAGGCAACGAUGGAUAGGGGAACUGAGAGGUUUGUCCCCACACUGGAACUGAGACACGGACCAGACUCCUACGGGAGGCAGCAGUGAGGAAUAUUGGUCAAUGGACGAGAGUCUGAACCAGCCAAAUCGCGUGAAGGAAGGCCUGCCCUACGGGUUGUAAACUUCUUUUGUACAGGAAUAAAAGACAUUACGUGUAAUGUAUUGCAUGUACUGUACGAAUAAGCAUCGGCUAACUCCGUGCCAGCAGCUGC